CCUACGGGUGGCAGCAGUCGAGAAUCAUUCACAAUGGGGGAAACCCUGAUGGUGCGACGCCGCGUGGGGGAAUGAAGGUCUUCGGAUUGUAAACCCCUGUCAUGUGGGAGCAAAUUAAAAAGAUAGUACCACAAGAGGAAGAGACGGCUAACUCUGUGCCAGCAGCCGCGGUAAUACAGAGGUCUCAAGCGUUGUUCGGAACCACUGGGCGUAAAGCGUGCGUAGGCUGUUUCGUAAGUCGUGUGUGAAAGGCGCGGGCUCAACCCGCGGACGGCACAUGAUACUGCGAGACUAGAGUAAGGGAGAGGGAGGCGGAAUUCUCGGUGUAGCAGUGAAAUGCGUAGAUAUCGAGAGGAACACUCGUGGCGAAGGCGGGUUCCUGGACAUUAACUGACGCUGAGGCACGAAGGCCAGGGGAGCGAAAGGGAUUAGAUACCCCGGUAGUC
rnacentral:rRNA from 1 species